CAACGCCGCUACUGUGGCUGGGGAGUAGAUGCCGUUAAAGAAAAGGCCUAGGAAGAGAAGUAGAAGGAAGCAGUGUGCAGACGUCCGGGUUCGAGUGGCUGGACGGUGCGUGGGGGCAACAAGUAGCUUGCACAGCGGGAGGAGAAAGGCCCAAGGCCCAAACUCGAGGGAAGCGUGAGGCGGACUGAACCGGUUACAUGCAGCAGUGGAGCAUGAUAAUUUGGGGAAACACAGAUCCCUUCAUUCUGGAUUGAAGCUGAAAUGAAAGACAUGGAAUCUGCCCUAUAGAGACACUCGUAUAUGGGAAUAAGUAUUUCAUCAACUCUAAGAUGCCCUAAACUGGAAAAUAUACUGUUGUUUUAUGUACCAUUAAGAAAGGAGGAGCUCCUGGGUGGCUCAGUUGGUUGACCGUUGGACUUCGACUCAGAUGAGGACACUGAUGCACGGUGAAGUCACCUAAGUAAACAGGAGAGACCGGAUUCAAAUGCAGAUUGUGUGAUUUGAGAAUCCAUGCCCUUGACACUAUAGAGAGUAGGGUGCUCAAAAGGCCACUGGAGUAGGAGGGCCAUGACAGUGCCUGGCAUUUAGAACGGGGCCUCUCAAGAAUCACCCUCAAGAAGGCACUUAUCAGGACUUACAGAGCCCCUGCGUGAUGGUGGCUAAGGGUCCUAAUUUGACAUAUAGGAAAGAUCAGAUAGAACUAGGGCCGCUAGAGAGAUGAAAACUGGGGCCCAGGGGUGCUGGGGCCCCUGGCUGCCCAAAACCCUCCUGCUGAGAAGAUGGGUGGUUCUCCUGUCAGUUCAACAGUUGAACCCAAACAUACUGGACCAGGUAUGUGAGGGCAGUCUCUAAGGAGACUAAGCACAUAUGAUGAUGGUGUCUUCCCUUUGAGAGGAGGAAGGGAGAGUCUUAACAGAGGCAGCCACAGAACUCUGGGGUUGCAGUUCCUCUCUGGGCUAUCCUUAGGUCAAAGUGUUGGGGCCUGUAGGAAAGCUUACCCUGUGAGGCUGAAGAAAGACAAGGAAGUGGAGGAAAACAAUCUUCGCUUAUAUGUCUGUUCAGCCAGGAACUGCCUGGCUUCAAAAUUCCUUUACAUGUAUACACUGUGAAAAAUAACGGGAAACUUCACUAAAAUGCAGUGUGGAGGUUCCGGCAGGGGGAGCUCUCCUACACCACUACGCAGCCGUCAAUUGCAGACCCAAGAGGAAGACGCGAGUUGACGGGGCUAGUGGAUACCACUCCGCUACUCCAGCCAAAGGACGGUGCUUUCCUCGUCCCCGGGGCAACAGCUCAGCCAAUGAGAAGCCACCAUACUUGGAACUCCCAGUUUACCCCAAUGGACUUUUAGUUUCUAACAGCCUUUCCAACGGACCCCUUUUCUCCUUAAAAAAGUGUACCUCUCCUCUCUUCCCCGGACUUGCCUGUGGUUUUGGUGCAACUUCUUUGUCCCGGAUUACAGUUCUCUUUAAUUACUGAAUAAGCUCGUAAAAUAACUGGCAGUUUUAAUUUUUAAGGUUAAUAUUACUUGGUGCUCAGAGGUGGCAUCCAGAGAAGACCCCCACCCCCACCCCAGGGCUCCCGGGGCUGGUGAGCAAAUAGGUGCGGUACCCACGGAAAUGUUGCAGCUCACUGCUUUCUCGCCUUCUCUGGGGUUGGAGGAAAGGAGGUGCCCUUGCAGAAAGGAAGAUACAGACUUCCAAUGAAAAGUGCCUGAGAGUUUCUUCCUUCUAACCUUCCCUGUUAUUCCAGUGUGGCUUAAGUGACUUCCAACUGCUAUGCACUUUCCCUCCGACGUUAGACAUGACAACCAGGAAAGGUUCUUCUUGGAGCUGAGAGGAAAAAACACUAAAUAUAAAGAACCUGACUAUUGAUCAAUUAUGCCUUCAAGGAAAGAUCGAAAGGGUGAAAUGUGAGAAAUAAUAACUGGGAAACCUCACUAAAAUGGAGCCCGGAGGUUUCUGCAGGGGGACUUCUCACGCCCUACCACACAAAGUUAACUGUAGACCCAACAGGAAGAGAUGGACUUGACCUUACGUGGACUUGACCUUGCAUGUAGGUACACUCUACUACUCCAGCCAAAGGGACAGAUUUUUUCCUCAUCCCCAGGCAACAGGUUAGCCAAUGAGAACCCCCCAUACUUGGAACACCUGGUUUUCUCCAAUGGACUUUUAGUUUAUAACAGCCUUCCCCAGUUAUGCCUUUUCUCCUUAAAAGAGUGUACCUCUCUCCAUCGUUCCCCAGACUUGCCUAUGGUUUUGCCUCAGCUUGUUUGUCCUAGAUUGUUAUUCUCUUUUAUUCCUGAAUAAAGCCAUUUUUGCUGGUAAAAUAAA